rnacentral:rRNA from 1 species
CGGGACGGGUGAGUAACGCGUGGAUAACCUGCCUUACACAGGGGGAUAACGCUUAGAAAUAGGCGCUAAUACCGCAUAAGCGCACAGCCUCGCAUGAGGGAGUGUGAAAAGCCUCGGCGGUGUAAGAUGGAUCCGCGUCUGAUUAGCCAGUUGGCGGGGUGACGGCCCACCAAAGCGACGAUCAGUAGCCGGCCUGAGAGGGUGGACGGCCACAUUGGGACUGAGACACGGCCCAGACUCCUACGGGAGGCAGCAG